GCCAAGCACCUCCCCCGUGUCGGGCCGGGGGCGGCUCUGGGCGGGGAAAUAAAGCGGCGGCACGUAAACGUGAGAGGCUGUUGUGGUCGGUGCGCGCCGCUAACGGAGCCCUGUUAGCCGCACAGUCCCUGGCGGCACCGUGCAGGCACAUCUGCAUUGUGCUGCUGGGGCUCCAGAGCAGUGAAUCAUCUGUUCUUUCUGGCAAGCGAAAUGGCUGCGCGUUACACAACUGCUCAUUCAAGACAGAAAUGAGUUUAUAUAAACUGCCAACGGUGGAACCGGAGAAGUUGUCAGAGUUCCUCCAUACCAAUGGCAAAGCCCAUGCAGAAGGCGACAUCAGCGAUGGCGUAGACAUUGCCGUAGACGGAGGUGUGGCGAAGGUCCACGAGGUAUCCCAUGAUAGGCAUCAUUGCGGAGUCCACCAUCCCUGCCCAAAGCAAGAAGGACCUGAUCAGUCGUGGCGUUCUCCAAGGGUGGUGGCAAGAGCUGCGUUUGAGCUGUGAUACACAGCCUCAACGCCGACAGCUUACCUAUGGCGAAGCCAAGGCCACUGUUCGGGCCAAUCAGCCCGUAAAUAUUUUUGGCCAGAGGCACCUUUGAGAGGAGAGAG